rnacentral:misc_RNA from 1 species
GAUGAAGAACGCAGCGAAAUGCGAUAAGUAGUGUGAAUUGCAGAAUUCAGUGAAUCAUCGAAUCUUUGAACGCACAUUGCGCCCUUUGGUAUUCCAAAGGGCAUGCCUGUUCGAGCGUCAUUUGUACCCUCAAGCUUUGCUUGGUGUUUGGCGUCUUGUCUCUAGCUUUGCUGGAGACUCGCCUUAAAGUAAUUGGCAGCCGGCCUACUGGUUUCGGAGCGCAGCACAAGUCGCACUCUCUAUCAGCAAAGGUCUAGCAUCCAUUAAGCCUUUUUUUCAACUUUUGACCUCGGAUCAGGUAGGGAUACCCGCUGAACUUAAGCAUAUCAAUAAGCGGAGGA